GGUGGACGGAUGGAAGGUGUUUUUAGUGUGCUUUUACUUUCUCCCUAUUCUAGUCUGCUAGUGGCAAUAUUUGCCAGCCUGCAUCACAAAGCAGGUUAGGCAAUAAAUAGAAAACAAAUAUUUCUUUUCAAAUGUUGGUCAGUUCUCACAGUAAAGCACAAUCUCAGAAACAAUUGCUCUGACAUAACUGAAGAGGCAGCAAACUGUGGCAGCGCAGCAGCUUUAGGAAGACAAGAACUCCUUACAACAAUUUUCCACUAAAGCUGAUGUAAGGCUGCUGGCACUCAACCCUGAUACAAAUGGCAUGCCUAGCAUUGUGCAGAUAACAGAACUAUGCCAGCCUCUAGAUAUGAUUCCAGGUUUUUGAGGAAUUAUAAUUCCUCAGCUGAAGAUUAUUUUGCCUAAGCCCUUUCCUGUCAGCUUCCAGAUAAUCAGCUUCUACUCUCUCCAACCAUUUUUCCCAGCCAUCUUCAGUACUGACUGGAAACAAAGCUAUUUCCUAUUUUCUUCCCUGACGCUGGGGUGACAUCCAGGAAACGGAGCACAUCGGAAGAUCUCCCACUGUCCGUGCUGCAGCAGCUGCAGGUCCUCGGGAGGAACAGUGACAGUGAGACUCCAGGUCCAGCAGAGGUAAGUGCAGCAGAAGUGCCUGCAGCCUUCCUUUGAGAGGUUGGGAAGAAAUUGUGCUGUCAGCCUUCAACAGCCCCUUACCGAUAUCAGGCUUCAGAGACUGAGGUACCACAUUUGGCCAGAUUACUAUUAUUGUAUAUAUAUAUUUUGAACAAGGACAGAAAAAGACACCUCUACUAUUUCAAAAUGACUUUCUGCAAAAAGGAAGGCUCUACUCAUAAAAGCUCUUCACAAGUAAAGGAUGAAAAAGCUUUCUCUUUGGCUCAGCAGUUCAUUAUCUUCAGCAGCUACCUGCCUUUGCAGUGUUAGAUCCCCUUCUAUUCCUCUGUCCCUUACGCUCCUGCCUCCUGCUCCCAGCCCUCUGGUACCCUCCUCUUCCUUUUACCAGCUCCGCUGCUCAUUUGACCUCCAAGUAAGUUGAUUCAGCUCCCUAAAAUGAAGCAGGAAAAAGAAGAAAAACCAACCCAGCCUUUUAUAUGCUUGCUCUUUUAUAAGGUUAGAAGAUUAAUCAGCUCACCGAGAGGUCGGAUGCCUCAGAGCUGCCGCAAGAGAAGCCAUGAAACUACUCAUUCUUUGUCAGCAAGUCGCUCAAUCAGCUUUGCCGAUCUGAAACACCACUUUCAGAAGCAAAGAAGUCACCAGUGCUGAAACUUGACAAAGAGAACCAGGCAGACUUGUGAGAAAUUUAAACGCAAUAGCUUACACUUGCAUAUACAUAAGCGACUAAAAUAAGAUGUCGAUGUUACCUGCUGACAUCCAUUAUAACCACGUAGCUGUCAGCUAAAUGUUAAUAGCAUGUUGGGGGUGGCAGUGGGAAAGACUGUGCUCUGAAACACCGUAAGGAGACGCUGCAGCAAGGAGGCGCCAGGGCUGAGAGAAACUGCAGUCAGAGCCAGAAAAUGCAAGGAAAGAGGAAGGAGUGCACACAGAGGAGACAGGCAACAAGGGGGGGUUAACGGUGGUUUUAACAGGGACACGUACACGUAACCGUGGUGGUGGGGAACCCACCAAAACCCAGAGGAGCACGGGCUGUGGGACCCAGCCGAGAAAUACCAGGGGCUUCCUGCGGUUCCCAGGUGAGCGCAGGCAAGUUGUACGAGCUCAGUUGUGAGCGCUCUGCAGAGGCUUUGAUGGCUCUGGUUGUUCACAUGCCGUUUCAGACACCAGGGGAAAAAAGUCCCCUUCUCCAUCAAGAGUCCAGAUGCAGAAGCAACCUACACUGUUUAAACCUCUGCUCGAGCAUCCUAUGCUGGAUUUUAUUAUUUGAGCUUGACCACAGCUUAUCAAAUGCCUUUUCUCAGACGCAGAACUAAAAGUUUUGAACCUGCAGAGCAAGGCUGUUUGAACUUCUAGCAUCUUCUUCUAACUACAUAUUUGAGUGAUCUCCUGCUGCAGGUUUGGGGAUUUUGUCUUUCUGGAUUUUACAAAACUGAUUUCAGCUGCUAUCGCUGUGUUUUUCACAGCAGACAACACUGAAAACUUUCUCCAGGAUGACAAAUACAUUUCAUUUCCAGUAGGUCAGCAGCAGGAGAGACUUACUGGUAUGAAGAUGGGCAUAAAGUCAGCUGAGUAAUGUAUUUGUUAAUGUGUGAAAUUGGUACGUUAAUUCCCAACUAUUUAACCCACAGGCAUACGGAAGUAGAAAUUUAAGGACAGGAAAAGAAGAAAUUCCCUAACACCGUGCAGUCUCCUCUGCCCUCCACCACAGAGAGAUAACUAGCAGUUAUCCUGACGCAGACCAGAAAUUCUAUUAGAAAUUAAAAACCAUUUUCCACAUCCAGACCAUACCCGCACUUCUGCCAACUGACACUCAGAACAGCUCCUACCGACUCGCAGCAAACUACAAAAAUCCCAGACCACCACCACAAAGCUCCGCUUGCCCUUCAAAUCCCUGUUCAGGAGCAAGCAGCAGGGGCUGCGAUUUCACCUCAUUCUCAGUCCAGCCUAAUCGGGGACUGCUCCUCGGGCAAGGAUCAGCGCGUGCCUCCUCCCCCUGCAAGGAAGGACGAGCUCGCCGUCGGAGCAGACAACUGACCCAGCUCACUGGGGGAUUGCACAACUACUGGAUGUAAGGGAGAGGGCAGGGACGCGCGCUGGCUGACAGCUCCUCUCAUUCUUCUUGGAAGAUUAAAACACAUUAAAAACGGUUUGAUAAAAUAUUUGUCCUGGCCUCAAUACGUCGACCGAAAGGUGUGUGACUCAACAUCCAAAUUGCUGUAAUAAAAAUCAAGAGGCUAAGAAGUUUUAAAAUCCCUUUCCCUAAGGAAGUCUUCGCGUUUCAUUCUUCUGAGUUUUGUAACAUUGCCAUUAAAAUCUCCGAUGGGACAAGCCCCAGAGACCCAGUGGCAGAACGUACAGUUUAAACACUUGACGAAUUAUCCCCAGAAAUAUUUCAUUUGACUUCUUGAUAAGAGACACAUGAAAUCACGAAACUGGAGGGGAGCUGCACGGCAGAUGUGUAUGGCUGCACGCCUUCUGCGUGCUGAGUUUAUUAUUUUAUUGGCAAUGCUGAGAUAAUGCUUAGCAAGUUGGAUAAUCCUCCAGUCACCUGCUUUGCUACAUGAGCCGCUCUUGUUUUGUUUAACUGGCCCAAUUCACAAUAAAACUGUAUUUACAUUCUGCUUUUAAUUUUGCUGGCAUAGCGAAAAUGACAAACCCUAACUGUGGGAAUAUUUCUAUCAAUAUAAAGGUGUUUUUUACAGUCAUAGUGUAUUUUGGAUGGGAAGAGAAGUGAAUUAUACCCAUGUAAGACGAUUUCCUAUCAACAGAAUUUUUAUGUUAAGGUUUGCACAAGAAUAAAGGAGGUGGGGGCAAAAGUCACGUACUUAAUUUGAAACACGCAGAACUUAUAUAAAAGCUGGAAUGUGGGCUGAACCUAAAAACUCGCUGAGUGAGCAACUCGGCAGUUUUCAGGAUUUGGGGAGCGCAGGUGUCUUCUACCCCCUGGAGGGAUCUAAAGAAAAGUCUACUCAGCCGUCGCUAAUUAUGGGCCAGAUACUGGGAAGACAACACAGGAUGACACUGUAAGAGUGGGAAGGCAACAGCAAUUUGACGUGAGUCAAGCAGGAGACUUACAAGGUCACAAAAAGCACGUGGAAGAUCUUCAGCUUCAAGUGCACGUGCGCUUGGAGCUGGGCGUCUCAGCUGUAUUCAUUUAUUAAGCAAACCUCCUCCUCCACUUGCGCUAGUGACCAGGAGCACUGUAGCUUUUCUUUACGCCUCUAAAGAACGCACAAGAAACGAGCUGCUCCUAUUCUUGCUAGAUUUGCGGGCAAUUUGGCCGCUGACCUCAAUAGCUGAAGGGCUGCACCCAGGUUUAGGUCCUGGCACAAGACAAAUUCCUUUUGGUUGGGUCAGACGGACCUGGCUGCAGCAAACGGCGGUUGGCAAUCGCCGUAAUUCUGCUGCUUUUCCUCCCGUGUUUCCUAACUUACCUUAAAAGGAUUUCUGCGAGGCGUAUUUACUGGACAAGGACACUAUUGCUGCAAAACCCUCCAAAGAUGCUCACAAACAUAUUCAGACCAGGAAGUCAAUCAGCUGGAGCCAAAGCAGCUCUCACAUUCAUUACCUGGUGAGUGCUACUGCUACGCCCCCGGCUCCCAAUCUAUUGGGGGCAUCAGGCUCGGUGCCUGCCUGCGUGCGAGCCCCACGGUGCUGGAAAGAAAUGAGAGGCAGGGGUGAUGGGGACCUGAGCUGACCCCGGAGCAAGAGGUGCCCCUGAGCUAGCCACAACUUAGCGAGGGGACAACGGAGAAUGAAUCACAACCCAGAGGUUACUCGUGCUGCUAACUGCUGAUGUACGAUAAACCAUGGACAAGGAGACUGGUGCUCUGAGGAAAAAAGGAAAAAAAAUCUUCCUCUCCUGAAGAAAGGAAUUUGAUUGUAAAUGAAUUACAUUGAAAGGACAAGUUUUGCAACAUAGCUAUUUUUAAAAUUAUUUAGACAAAGGACUUUUAAUGCCUUUUUAUUACAGAUUGCACGGAAGAUUUUGCACAGCAAAGAGGGGAAGACAAAAAAAAAGCUGACAAUCAGGAUUGAGUGAUUUUAAAACUUUAUCUUUUCAUGGGAUGCAAGAUUUUUAGAGCUGACGGUAGUGUGUGCAUGUGUGGGGGGGUUAGAAUGAGUUUAGGAAGGUAGAAAAGUUGUUCAGCUCUUUAUUGUUUUGUUCAUAAAACAUACCUGCACUAUUCUAGAACAGUGUAACACUUGAAGUAGCUGGUGAACAACAACAGCUUUUUUGUUGUUGUUUUAUUUCACUGCCAAAUGAAAGAUGUAAUAGAAUUGCUGUCUUAAAUAUUAUUGCUAAAGAAAAAAAGGAAAAGUUUCCAGCAUAUUAAAUAAUAUUGAACCUACAGUAUAAAUAUUUGAGGAAAGUGACUCCCUCUGCACGGAACGUCUAUUUUAAAGUACUGCUUAUUCCAGUCCUUCCCUUUGCAACAUAGGAUUUUGCAGCCUCAAGACUUUUUUCCCCCUUUUCUGAGGAUCUCUGACCAUUCAACGUAGCAGCAUUCACUACAAAGCAGUUCACUUGCUCUAAAGCUGAGAAUUUCUUUUAAUGAGUGCUGGAAGCAGCUGCGAUUGUAGCAUGUGACUCACAGCACAGCACCUCUGAGCGCAGUACGAGCUAUAUGGUGGUUACAGCCCCAUUUCCUCUCGCCAGCUCCUCCUUCCUCUCCCCAGUAAGGCCAUGCUUGUUUAUAGACCAGAGUUAUCACUGCUGUGCAGACAGAACAACUUUCAGAACCUUGAGAACUAAAAAUGGCAAUUCCUUGAUGUUUUUAAUAGUAACGGCUUGACAGAUACUGAAGUUCAAAAAUAAACAGCUUCAGUACCCCAUGACAGCUCACGGCUUUCUGUAAAGUUGUCCACUCAAACCCCAAGGAAAGCUUAGUCGGCCAUUACUAUGCAGAUGAUCACAGCACCAGCUGUUUGAUUCUCUGAGCAUCAGUAUUCUCUGGCAUCACACACACACACAAAAGACGAGCUCAGAAACCCCGUGUCUUAGAGACAGCCAGCUUCUGGUGAUCUACAGAGUAGGAAAAGCAUGGGCAAGUGGUCUCCUUUAUGGUCUUUGUGUACAAUUAAACGUGCAGCGCAAAGAGGACUCCUGGAACUUCUUUCAAGCUAUUGCUGCUUUUCACAUCAAGUUAAAUUGCUAAUACGUACUAAAGGAUAAGUUAUUGUACAUGUUUAAAAAAAGCACCCGAGUCAUUAUGACUUUCAUCCCAGUUUGGAUCACAGGCAAUGCUCAAUGUAAUCAAACCGGAGGGGGACCACCACUGAAAAUGAGACACAGUCACCCACUCAGUUCUCAUCUGCAGGAGGAUUGUAGCUCCAGCAGGCUCUGGGGAGCUCACAGCUGGAGAAACCCCCAAUAAAUCCUCUUCUGACACACAUCGUCAUAGCUGAAGACUCCAUCUGUGACAUCUCCCUGCAAGUCCCUACUGAGAACGUGUACGUGUAAAUUCUUUCAGUGCUCACGAUCCAGCCACACUGGGUGGAUUUUCUGUAAGUAGGUUCUUCUGAGAGGACAACUCUGUACCACGAGUGCAAUAAAAGCUUCACAUAGAAAAGGAUGUGAGAUCCUCAUCCACUCAUGAGCUGGCCACAUCAUUUGUUUUCUGCAAACAGUUUUUAUAAAAACAGUUGCUACGGUUUGCUCAAAACUUUCCCCCCAAGAACAUCAGCAUAAGGCUGGUGGAAAAUUUUAGUCAAGGCAGUCGGUUUGUCAGUUUGAGCAAAGUCAGAAGAGAGGACUAUAAUUGGCAGUGCUCAGGCAAUACAAAUAUAGAGCAGUACCCGCUCUACCUGUAAAACAGACUUACUACUCCCGAUUUGAUAUUAAAAAUUGGUUGUAUAAAAGUGCGUUUAAAAAGAAACUGUGUUUCUGUGUUGACAUUGCUCUAAGGAUAAAAAUAUUCACGGUAUCUUAACUAUCAACUACAAGCAGAGUUAGCACCACAAGUCACACAGACUUGCUGGAAGAUUUCCACUACCUCUUACUUUAAAAAAAUAUCAACUAUUACUAUCCUAUCAUGAUUUUCAUUGAAAACAGCUAUUUUCAGUUGCUAUUUAUGCUUGGAGCACAAAAUUAAGAUUCAAGCACAAAUCCACGAUUUUUUGUGGGAACCUCACACCAUCUAUGCCUGCUGCAGAAGAAUGGAAAACUCUGCUGUACUUGAAAAAAACUGAGAUUAUGUGAUCCAACAUAAUCUUGUAUCUACAGCCUGCCUAGCUCUUAGUCCUACUGCAAUUCCAACGGCAAAAAAUGAAUAGUUUUUAAACAAGUGCCAUUUAAUUACUGAGAAGUGCUUGCUCAGUAUGUGAUGAGUUUCUGCUUCAUGAAAAUGACUGCUUUAGAUGAAGUGUUUCUGGUAUUUUGUGUGAGCCACAUCCAGGCUGGGAUGUAAGAGUUUGGACUUGAAAUUUGAGGGGCACUGAAGGAGAACUCUGACAGAUCUAUCUGGGUAGUUCCUGCAGUGCUUUUGGUAAUUUCACCGGUGGGCAGAACGGGUGCUUCUCCACUACGGGGUACUUCUCCCUCCUCAGGGCACGCUGUGACCAGAGAGAGCUGAGGCAAGCAGCACCCGCCUGGUUUAACACCUGCGUGUGGUAAAUGUGCCGCAGGAACGCCGCAGGGCCACCUCCAUCCCGCCUCCCCUUCACGCCUCCUCACGGGGCCGCCUCCUCUCCCCCCUCAGGGCCGCCAACCCCAACCGCCCCCUCAGGCGCGGCCACGCGCAGGGGAGGGGCGGGGCUUCCCGCCGCCGGGCGCAGGCGCGCGCCCUCCCUUCUCGGGGACGCGCGCGCUCCCUCCGCGCAGGCGCAGUUCCGCGCUUCGCCUGCCGGGGGGCGGAGGGAGGAGGAGGAGCUCGGGCGCGGCGCAUGCGCGCAGUGGAGGGCGGUGGGAGGGGGGGGGGGAAGAGCGGCGGGUCUAUGUGGCGGGUGCGUGCGCGAGGGAGAAGGCGACGGGUUUCGUAACCGGCGCAGGCGCGCUCCGGGGCCCGCUGGGUGGAAGGGGAAGGAGAAGAGAGGAGGGGAAAAAAAAAAAUUAAAUAAAUAAAUAAAAAAAACCACCUCAGAGUUACGUCAGGAAAAGACGCCUCUGGGAUUCGAUGCAAAUGGGCUAAACCCCCAUGAGAGAACACCCCGUUAAGGAAAAUGGCCAUGUGCCCCUCGCUGGGUGCAGCUCUUCCCUCCCCAGCUGCGCUUUCUGCCCAUCCUUCUGUCAGUUUAGCAGACUUUUUGACAAUCUAGAACGAGAUUUAAGCUGCCUGCAGAAGGAGUUAGAAGGAGGUGUUUUUCUUCCUUAAUUUACUCGUGACACUGUCUCUUCUGACGUUAGUGGGGCUGUGCGAUGAGCCAGCACGAAAACCAAGCGAGCUGGUAAUAACAGCGGCAGCCACGUGUAUGUAGAUGAAAAAUUUAACAACCCAAGUGCUCCAUCAAAGCCCGUAAAACCAAGCGAGCUCCUUGGUUUCAGCAGGAUUGCAUCCCCAGUCUGGUUUGUUCCGUGAGUAUGCCAGCUACUGCCGUGGCACGUGGGCCUAGUAUGCUGCUGGGAACAGACAACUCUGAAAUCAGCUUUAUCUGUCAGGAUAGACCAGUUUAUGCACUGACACCGACAGUGCUGCCAGCGGAGCACUUGUGAAACCAGCCUGUGAUCAUGAGUCCUGCAAGGCCCUGCUAACCUUUUUCAUAUGUACUCAGUUAUUUAUCAGCCAAGCAGAAACAAACGGGCCUUGUGUAAUCUUCUCAUCCGCAGUUCUCCAACAGGACCUGUGUCACAGAUGGGGAACGUCCACGCUAGAAUCACCUGCUGAACAGACCAUGUUCUUCAAGGUCUACGCACACACAUACAUGUAGAAAUAUGCCUUACUGUGCAGCUACUGUCAAUAUUCUUAAUUUGCCAACUUCUCUAGGGAUAGUGCAGCUGUUUGAAGAGAGCCUGUGUACUGGCUUGUGUAAUACUGGUACCAGAGAGCAAUUAAUCUCUAUAGUCCUUACCUUAAGCAGAUGGUUUGAGAAAAUUUUGAAGAUAAUUCUCAAAGGUUUUGUGGUUUCAAGAGACACAAGACUCAAUCUGGCUGCAUUUCAUAUUUGAGUCUCAUUGACAUUAUUAACAUUGCAUAGAUGCCUUAAUUCCCUUAAGUCAGAUUUUCCUUGAUUGCAAUGAAAUGUAGGCAAGGAAUUCAUGUGCUAGAGCUAGUUGGGGUUUAAGUUGCCUCUUAAGUAGGUUAAUUUUGUCAAAUGUGUUCAUUCACAAUUGUUUGAAUACUUUCUCAUUCUUUAAGAAUAGCAUUUUUUUUUUUUAACAUUUCUAAUUUUAAAUGCUUUGAUGGAGCAAUAUAUUCUCUCUCUGUAUAUGUGUGGCUGCAGCUGUUAUUACCAGAUGCACAUUUGAUCAGUAUAAGGUUUGCUUUCCAUUCAGAGUAUCCAAUAGCUACUCAGAUUAGCUGUUGGUCACUCUUGCCAGCGAGAUUAAUCACUGGAAUUUUGUUAAAACACAAUCCCCUGCAAAGCAUGAACAUAAAGCAAACUAUAUAGAAAAUAUAAAUGAUUGUACAUGGAUCUGGUGAGAAAGCAUAUAUAUGAAAACUUAAACACUUGUUUUGUUUGUACGUAUAUGUAUAAGAAGCUACUCUUUUGUGAUGUAAAUGUAUUUUACAACAAGGCCAAAUUGUCUAUGCUGUACAGUUUGUAAUGUUAAUAUUUGUUUCAUUUUAAAUAUAACAAUAUUUGGAAGAAGAUCAUAUCCUUGAGCUAGGCAUUUUCCAGAUCUGUAGUUUCAAAGUUAUUUUUGAUUUGUAGACCCCUAAUUUUUUUUUCUGUGAAGGUUUGGGCCCAGUGUCAUUGAUUUAAAACUAAUGGCAUCAGGUUAUUUUAUUUUACAGUUUUAGAAGUCUCUCAGAUACACUUUGGCAGCCAUAUAUCAGCAGCUGAGAAAGAGUUUUGUAGAGAAAAGCUUGAUUUGGGGGAAGAGGAGGAGAGAAGAUAAAGAAAGAAGGGGCAUCAGAAGGAAUGUCAUGCAGUUUAACUUUGCUUCAUUUUGGGAGGGGAACCUUGACCGGGUAUGGAUGCAAAAUUUUUUUUCACCUUGGUAAAUUUUCUGAGUCUUCUGUCCGUUCUUUACUUUGGGGGCUUAAUAUGCUAUGGACGUAUGUACCACAUAUACAGGAGGAUAUGCUGCUGCCCCGUCCUUUCCUUGCAGGCAGUGUGGCUUCUCAAACACUGUGCUUCUCUCCUAGCUGCUGGAAGAGCAGAAAUACAGUACCCCGGGGGCCAGUGUAUGAUGUCUUGUUUCCACCAAAACCCUUGGAAUUAUUAUUGCCAAUGACAUAUUGGAGAGGGAGCUAAUUAAUUUCUAAAAAGCGUGCCAGCUCCCCCAGUUGGCCCCCAAGACUUUGUGGCGGAGCAGGCGCUAAUGCUGCGGGGCACACUGGCCCUUCCCCUGCAAUCCCAGGACCUCUGGGAAAUGAAGCACUGUCACCUGUCACGCAGAGAAUGGCUGCAUGAACCCGUUCCUCUCUGCCACUGCAGAAUGCAGCAAAUGCUUCUGCUAACACCAGAGGUCUCGCUUUAUUGAUCCCAAAUACUCUGCCAAAACACAGGUAAAGUAUGACUUGCCAAAAUACACAGACACAAUUUUUCACCAGUUUCUCAGUGCUGACAGCUGUCCAUGGAAAAGAACAUGUGUUUCAUCUUUGGUUUUGUUCUUGCACGGUCAUAUGAAACUUCCCAUAAUGACUGUUAACAGGUAAAAGGAAAUUUUACUCCUCCUAGGUAGAGCCUGUCACCACUCAUCACAAAAAUACUGACAGUCAGUAGUCAGAGAAUGGGAACAGACCGACAACCAGGCAGUAAGAUAUGCAACGUGAAUAUUACGAACAUAACAGUGUUUCCAUAACCCAUGCGAAGCAUGGUACACAAACAAAACUCUUUCUGGAGUUUUAAAUUUUUAACAGGAAAAUAGCUAUAAUACAAUAUAAUGUAAAACUCCCCUCUUCAUCCCUGUUUUUUGCAGUUUCGUAGUGCCAAGUUCUGAGCUUUUUUAGCUGUCACCCUCAUACUUCCGCAAAUAGCAGAAUCUAGUUAAUAUUUUCCACUCAGAAUCCACAUGAUUCUAGCAGCUUGGACAGUUUCAGAUAAAAGCUGCCAGAUAACGACAAGCUAGAUACUACCACAGAAAAUGCUCAAUAGGAGUAAGCAGAUGCAUACUUAAGAAGGUGAUAGUUCCAUGGGUCAACAAUGGUUCAGAGAAUAAUAGGCUACAAAACAUUAAGGCGUGCAUUCUCUAAGCAGGCAGCUGGUCAUGGUACCGGCCUUAUUGUUUAAAAGAAUAAUGUAUCUUUGCUUGCAACUAGUAAGCCAUUCAGGGAUG